CACGGGCUCCGUGUCGACGGCGGCCAGACUUCAUGCCAAGGGACGCAUCGCCUCGCCGGCCUGUAGAAGCUGCGGUGACGCUGAGACCCUCGAGCACCUACUGUGCAUCUGUCCUACAUUAGCCCAGGAGCGCGCCCAAGUCUCUGCCACCUACCGACGGUAUGGACUCCCGGCUACCUCAGAAACACACCUGCUCUUCCCGGCCCGCUACCACCUUCCACCACAGGCAAGCCUGCUUGAAUAUGUGUACACAAACGGGCUCCUAGACCGCCACUAGACUUCGGCCUCCCAUGAGCCUCUGCCUCGCUCGCCGGCCAUCGCCUCCGGAUGAUGCUGACACAUGCUGCCUGACACCUACUCUCCUUCUCCCCCUCUAUCCCAUCAUCUUUCAUCCCUGGCCCCCAUCCCCAAUACGCUGCGCCGUGCUCCCAUAUGGGCGACAGAAUUAAACGCACUUUCCUUCUCCCGAAUCACGAAGAAGCAGCAGCAGCAGGAGCGAAACGCCGGUGUCGCAGUGACCACAGCGGUUUCACAGAGCCACCGCGCUGCGAUACUUCGGCGGCAGUCAAGUAGACACGCUCGAAAUUUGUCAGGCAUCUUAUUCCGUGGUGGAAACACUGGGAGGCAGGACGUUUGAAAAAACGGCCACGGCCGCCCACCAGGUCGUGGGUUCGUUAUGCCAGUUGUGCGUCAUUCUAAUGCGUUCUGUACAUUUAUACUGGAUAUUAACUGGAGUCAUUUAGCUGUGCUGAUGCAUUUGACGUGUGUUUUUCAUCAGUGCUUCGUGACAUCGGCUGUAUUGCGUGUUUUCGCCGACGGCUUACUACCAGAAUGGCGGGAUCUGCGUUUGCCGCCUUCGUUUUUCUCGGUGCGUCUUUGUACGUCGCACGUUCGGAAAACUUUUUCCAGUAAAUGAAAUAACUUGCACUUCGUUUUUUUUUUUUUUUUGUCAACAAUGUGAAUAUUUUUAGGUGUUACCUGCGACAAUUCUGGAUGGAUGGGCCCUUCUGUCCUGAGGGUUUUUGUCAUCUUUACGUUUACACGAGGGUUCUGCUUGUUAGUCUUUGUAGUUAACGUAGCACGAACCAAACGAAGGGAGUGCAUUCGGAGGGGACGCGCUGGCUCUAAUCGUGACCCAGAGUGAACUCGCCUUAUUUUGUGUCCUUUUGUUCUUGCAUGGGUUACAGCGUUGCGUGCGCGCGUGUCAGUGCCUAUGCAGCUUGCAGGAUUCCCACUUUCUAGCAAAACAAUAAUAUAACUGCAACGUUUACUUCGUCUAUGCAAUUCCAAAUGCAGUCGGCUGCUGAUGUAAAAGUUUCGCUGCUGUCUUGUUUUAAAUAAGCAGCAAAACCAUUGGCCUAGUAGGUGCUUCAUCUGGGAUUGCAAUCACGACUGCUUGGAAUUUAUUAAUGAAUGACUGCGGGCCAUCUCAUUUGUAAUUGCAAAUCUGUCUUUCAACUGACUUGGUGCUCUCUUAUUUUGUUCCUUUCCCUCCAUAGACGGCUCGACAUCCUUCUUGUCCCUUGGCGCUAGCUGAAUGACGGGACCUCAUGAUCAGUGUAUUGCUUGCCUAUGUCUACAAGAACCUUCACGCGUGGCCUGGGACAGCAAGAUUUUGUGGGCAGCCAGUGCUCUCCUACGAAGGCUGGCCUGCUCUGGCAGCGGCGGCAAUCAUCUACAAGAUUUAUCCAUGAUCACCUUUGCUGCUAUUUGUCACUCCUUUUAAUUACACCUUCUGCAUCUUUUCUCAUUUAUUAGAUAAUAAAGUAUGGCUAUGUGACAUGGUGAGAAGUACAUGUCCUGCUGCA